UCUUCCGUGGCGCAAUUGGCUAGCGCGUUCGACUGUUAAGUUCCCACGCAACAUCGAGAGGUUGUCAGUUCAAGCCUGACCGGAAGAG
rfam:Magnaporthe oryzae 70-15 chromosome 1, whole genome shotgun sequence.